rnacentral:misc_RNA from 1 species
GAUGAAGAACGUAGCGAAAUGCGAUAAGUAAUGUGAAUUGCAGAAUUCAGUGAAUCAUCGAAUCUUUGAACGCACAUUGCGCCCGCCAGCAUUCUGGCGGACAUGCCUGUUCGAGCGUCAUUUCAACCCUCGAGCCCCCCCGGGGGCCUCGGUGUUGGGGGACGGCACACCAGCCGCCCCCGAAAUGCAGUGGCGACCCCGCCGCAGCCUCCCCUGCGUAGUAGCACACACCUCGCACCGGAGCGCGGAGGCGGUCACGCCGUAAAACGCCCAACUUUCUUAGAGUUGACCUCGGAUCAGGUAGGAAUACCCGCUGAACUUAAGCAUAUCAAUAAGCGGAGGA